UGGGGAAUAUUGCACAAUGGGCGCAAGCCCGAUGCAGCCAUGCCGCGUGUAUGAAGAAGGCCUUUGGGUUGUAAAGUACUUUCAGUCGGGAGGAAGGUGGUAAGGUUAAUAACCUUAUCAAUUGACGUUACCGACAGAAGAAGCACCGGCUAACUCCGUGCCAGCAGCCGCGGUAAUACGGAGGGUGCAAGCGUUAAUCGGAAUUACUGGGCGUAAAGCGCACGCAGGCGGUUGAUUGAGUCAGAUGUGAAAUCCCCGGGCUUAACCCGGGAAUUGCAUCUGAUACUGGUCAGCUAGAGUCUUGUAGAGGGGGGUAGAAUUCCAUGUGUAGCGGUGAAAUGCGUAGAGAUGUGGAGGAAUACCGGUGGCGAAGGCGGCCCCCUGGACAAAGACUGACGCUCAGGUGCGAAAGCGUGGGGAGCAAACAGG
rnacentral:rRNA from 1 species